rnacentral:pre_miRNA from 1 species
AAGCUCCACAGGCUGGUGGGCGCCUGGGACAGGCUGGGUGAAGGUCUCUUUGAAAUGCUCAGCCUCAAGUAUGACAAGAAGG